rnacentral:tRNA from 1 species
UGUUCUGUGGUUUAGUUGGUUAAAAUGCCGGGCUAUUUAUGCGAAGUCGUGCGUUCGAGUCCCAUCAGAACAC